rnacentral:rRNA from 1 species
GGGGAAUAUUGGACAAUGGGGGAAACCCUGAUCCAGCCAUGCCGCGUGAGUGAUGAAGGCCCUAGGGUUGUAAAGCUCUUUUGUGCGGGAAGAUAAUGACGGUACCGCAAGAAUAAGCCCCGGCUAACUUCGUGCCAGCAGCCGCGGUAAUACGAAGGGGGCUAGCGUUGCUCGGAAUCACUGGGCGUAAAGGGUGCGUAGGCGGAUCUUUAAGUCAGAGGUGAAAGCCUGGAGCUCAACUCCAGAACUGCCUUUGAUACUGGGGAUCUUGAGUUCGGGAGAGGUGAGUGGAACUGCGAGUGUAGAGGUGAAAUUCGUAGAUAUUCGCAAGAACACCAGUGGCGAAGGCGGCUCACUGGCCCGAUACUGACGCUGAGGCACGAAAGCGUGGGGAGCAAAC